rnacentral:rRNA from 1 species
ACUGAUGUAUUCAACGAGUCUAUAGCCUUGGCCGAUAGGCCCGGGUAAUCUUAGAAAAUUUCAUCGUGAUGGGGAUAGAUCAUUGCAAUUGUUGGUCUUCAACGAGGAAUUCCUAGUAAGCGCGAGUCAUCAGCUCGCGUUGACUACGUCCCUGCCCUUUGUACACACCGCCCGUCGCUCCUACCGAUUGAAUGGUCCGGUGAAGUGUUCGGAUCGAGGCGACGGGGGUGGUUCGCCGCUCGCGACGUCUCGAGAAGUCCACUGAACCUUAUCAUUUAGAGGAAGGAGAAGUCGUAACAAGGUUUCCGUAGGUGAACCUGCGGAAGGAUCAUUG